CCUACGGGAGGCAGCAGUCGAGAAUCAUUCACAAUGGGGGAAACCCUGAUGGUGCGACGCCGCGUGGGGGAAUGAAGGUCUUCGGAUUGUAAACCCCUGUCAUGUGGGAGCAAAUUAAAAAGAUAGUACCACAAGUGGAAGACACGGCUAACUCUGUGCCAGCCGCCGCGGUAAGACAGAGGUCGCAAGCGUUGUUCGGAAUCACUGGGCGUAAGGGGUGCGUAGGCUGUUUCGUAAGUCGGGUGUGAAAGGCGCGGGCUCAACCCGCGGACGGCACAUGAUACUGCGAGACUAGAGUAAAGAAGGGGGAAGCGGAAUUCUCGGUGUAGCAGUGAAAUGCGUAGAUAUCGAGAGGAACACUCGUGGCGAAGGCGGGUUCCUGGACAGUAACUGACGCUGAGGCACGAAGGCCAGGGGAGCGAAAGGGAUUAGAUACCCCAGUAGUC
rnacentral:rRNA from 1 species